rnacentral:rRNA from 1 species
GGUGAGUAACACGUGGAUAACCUACCUAUAAGACUGGGAUAACUUCGGGAAACCGGAGCUAAUACCGGAUAAUAUAUUGAACCGCAUGGUUCAAUAGUGAAAGACGGUUUUGCUGUCACUUAUAGAUGGAUCCGCGCCGCAUUAGCUAGUUGGUAAGGUAACGGCUUACCAAGGCAACGAUGCGUAGCCGACCUGAGAGGGUGAUCGGCCACACUGGAACUGAGCCACGGUCCAG